ensembl:lncRNA
AAUUAUGGCAGUUUUUUUAAUGUAGAGAAAAGCCACAGUGAUCCAUCAGCAGCAGGAUGGCUGUGAUGGAUCACUGUGGCUUUUCUCUACAUUAUUCACUCUCAACAUGACACAAAAACACACCAAUAGUAUUAUUUGACUGGAUACUGGGAUGAAGAUAAUUGUCACAAUAUUGUCAUGCCUAAUAACUGUUUAUCUAUUUUAUUGUUUACUUGUUAUUUUGUGGCUUUUUAAAACCGUAGCUUCUUAUUGCUAACAAAUGUUCACCUUUCAAUCAAUUUUUGUUUUAAUUUAUCAGGUUUUACAUGCAAAAGAUACUAUGUUCCAUGUAAAGAGUGUGGGUUGGUGGUCCACACGUGCUACACAGAGCUUUGAUGACCACCAUCUACAUGGUGUAGCGGCAUACUGUUGUUUGUAUCGGCUUAAUUCCUUAAUACAGCGGUCCCCAAUCCCCGGGCCAUGGACGGGUACCGGUCCAUGAGUCAUUUGGUAUCAGGCCGCGAGAGUUGGGGCUCGGGUGUGAAAUUGAUGGUUUUCAGGGUUUUUUAGCAUUAUUUUUAGAUCAUUUUUAUCAUUAACUCAGUUUCCCUGUUUUUUUCCCCUGUGUAUCUUCUUUUUUUUUGGUAUCAGUACUAGUUUUAUUUUGUUGUAUUUAUCUGCAGCACCUUAAAGGCCGGUCCAUGAAAAUAUUGUCGGACAUAAACCGGUCCGUGGCGAUGAAAUGGUUAAGGACCGCUGCUUUAAUAGACAUGAUGGAAGCAUCAGAAGGCGAUAGCUGUGACUGCAAAACAACUUCCAGUCCUACAGAAGUGUAGGGCAAAAACAGCUUUCUGAUUGAACUCUGCAAACGCUUUCCUGAUGAGUAUGUGGGCUCAGUCGUUCACUUCGUCCAUUUCGUAACAUCUUGGUCAUUCUACAUUUUUGAAAGGAGAAUUAUCACUGUUGUGCUCGUUGGCUUGUGAUUUGUGCUCGUCACAUUAGCAGCCAAUGAGAAAACCCUUUUGCAGUCACAAUUUUUGAAACGAACACA